GUGGGGAAUCUUGCGCAAUGGAUGCAAGUCUGACCCAGCCAUGCCGCGUGGAGGAAGAAGGUCCUCUGGAUUGUAAACUCCUUUCUUGGGGGAAGAAUAGUUCUCUUGCGAGGGAAUGUGACGGUACCCUAAGAAUAAGCCACGGCUAACUACGUGCCAGCAGCCGCGGUAAUACGUAGGUGGCAAGCGUUGUCCGGAUUUAUUGGGUUUAAAGGGUGCGUAGGUGGUUUGAUAAGUCAGUGGUGAAAGCUGGUUGCUCAACAAUCAAGUUGCCAUUGAUACUGUCGGACUUGAGAGAAGUGGAGGUUCAUGGAAUGGAUGGUGUAGCGGUGAAAUGCAUAGAUAUCAUCCAGAACGUCGAUUGGGAAGGCAGUGGGCUGUACUUUAUCUGACACUGAGGCACGAAAGUGUGGGGAUCAAACAGGAUUAGAAACCCCUGUAGUCC
rnacentral:rRNA from 1 species